rnacentral:rRNA from 1 species
ACGGAACUACUCCGAUGAGAAUCUUCGGAAAGCUUUUGAUUUAGUUUAGUGGCGGACGGGUGAGUAACGCGUGGGUAACCUGCCCUAUACAGGGGGAUAACAGUUGUCAACGACUGUUAAUACCGCAUAAGCGCACAGGAGCGCAUGCUCCGGUGUGAAAAACUCCGGUGGUAUAGGAUGGACCCGCGUCUGAUUAGCUGGUUGGCGGGGUAAGGGCCCACCAAGGCGACGAUCAGUAGCCGGCCUGAGAGGGUGAACGGCCACAUUGGGACUGAGACACGGCCCAAACUCCUACGGGAGGCAGCAGUGGGGAAUAUUGCACAAUGGGGGGAAUCCUGAUGCAGCGACGCCGCGUGAGCGAAGAAGUAUUUCGGUAUGUAAAGCUCUAUCAUCAGGGAAGAAAAUGACGGUACCUGACUAAGAAGCCCCGGCUAACUACGUGCCAGCAGCCGCGGUAAUACGUAGGGGGCAAGCGUUAUCCGGAUUUACUGGGUGUAAAGGGAGCGCAGGCGGCGCGGUAAGUCUGAUGUGAAAGCCCGGGGCUCAACCCCGGGACUGCAUUGGAAACUGUCGUGCUGGAGUGUCGGAGGGGCAAGCGGAAUU